CCUCCUACCAAUACAGGAAAGGCUCCAGAAAGAGAGAAAACGUAAAGAUGUUGGUCUAUUUGAGCCGUAUUGGGAAAAUGGCCAUUGGGUUUUUGAUAGACUAAAGGAAGGACGAAUACAUAAACAACCUUCGAAUAUAUUAAACGUAAAAACAACAGAAAAUAACGAAUGCGACCAAAUCUGCCCUGCGGUUUAUGAGGAAUACGGUAAGGUUUGCGCCCAACGGUUCGCGAUUGGCAAAUUUGAGAGGCUGAGAUGGAAUUAUCAAUUUAAAGA